UUGCUACUGGGAGCAAUGCCAGGAGCCCUGUUAACAUGGAAAGCAAGAUCAGGGUGGUGAGGAGAAUCAGCACCAGUGGCUGGAUUCUUGGUUUAGUUACAUAAUGCGAACAGAUUUCUACUUCUGGCCAAGAUCUAUCAAGGGGACCAAGAUUUCACCCUCCUGCCAGAGCAAAGGAAUGGAUGAACUGAAUAAGAGGAGCAAUUUCUUCAAUGUAAGGAGCAUGGGCCAUAGAGAAUGAGGCGACACACAUAGAGUGAAAAAGAUAUGUUAUGGUAAAAACCGUAAAUGGGAUGCAUCAGGCUGAGCUGACCAAACAUACUGCACUUUACAUUUUAUACGUCGGGAAUGCUUCCGUGAAGACAGUCAUCUGCUACCCAGACACAGAACUCUCUGCUCGUCUCCAGCACCACGUCUGCCUACAUGCUGCCAUGCUUCCAGCCAUGGCGACAAUGGACUGAGCAUCUGAAGCGGGGAAAUACCAACAGAUCACACCAGCAGCCCUGCGCUGGAUCAAAGCUACAGACUCAGGGGGAAGGACAUUUAAAAGUGACAAUCCAAUAGUGAAUUACCUCGGACUACCUCCUCCACGGACUCGGUGGUGGUGGUGGUGGUGGUGGCGAUGCUGGUGGUCCUCUCUGUCGCCUCUUCGUAGGGCUCCUCGGCCUCCUCCUCCACCUCAUCCCCGUCCUCCACAUCCUCAUCGUCAUCAGCUUC